rnacentral:rRNA from 1 species
AUUGAACGCUGGCGGCAGGCCUAACACAUGCCAGUCGAGCGGAUGAAGGGAGCUUGCUCCUGGAUUCAGCGGCGGACGGGUGAGUAAUGCCUAGGAAUCUGCCUGGUAGUGGGGGAUAACGUCCGGAAACGGGCGCUAAUACCGCAUACGUCCUGAGGGAGAAAGUGGGGGAUCUUCGGACCUCACGCUAUCAGAUGAGCCUAGGUCGGAUUAGCUAGUUGGUGGGGUAAAGGCCUACCAAGGCGACGAUCCGAAACUGGUCUGAGAGGAUGAUCAGUCACACUGGAACUGAGACACGGUCCAGACUCCUACGGGAGGCAGCAGUGGGGAAUAUUGGACAAUGGGCGAAAGCCUGAUCCAGCCAUGCCGCGUGUGUGAAGAAGGUCUUCGGAUUGCAAAGCACUUUAAGUUGGGAGGAAGGGCAGUAAGUUAAUACCUUGCUGUUUUGACGGUACCAACAGAAUAAGCACCGGCUAACUUCGUG